rnacentral:lncRNA from 1 species
ACACAAAUAUCAUAGACACAGAAGUUACAUAUGCUUUUAUUAAGAGUUAAUGAUUUAAAAAAUAACCUAAUGAUAUGAGUGCUAAAUUUGUAAAUAAUUGAAAUGAGUCACUUUCUUCUGGUAACACCUUCCUGGGGCUAUUCCAUUCCAAGAUGACCAAAUAGGAACAGCUCUGGUCUGGAGCUCCCAGCGUGCCCGACACAGAAGACGGGUGAUUUCUGCAUUUUCACAGAGGUACCUGGUUCAUCUCAUUGGGACUGGUUGGACAGUGGGUGCAGCCCACAGAGGUUAUUCCUUUGUAGUUGUGAUCCAGCAUGGAUGUGGUGUGGUUGUAUCAGUGACUGCAGGUAGUCUGUGGAGCAUUACACAGUUCUUUACGGAAAUAGCAGCUGCAAGUGACCAGGACCACUGACAGCAGAAGGCACCUCACUUACCAUGGUAAAAAGCAGUUUAGAAAAAUCUCAAAAACAAAAUAAAUGUUUAUUGGAGACUCAA